rnacentral:lncRNA from 1 species
UUUUUUUUUUUUUUUUUUUUUUUUUUACCCCAGGUUAGACUAUCAAUACCUUAUACCAUAGUUUAUAGUACUGCCACUGGGAAUGGACUCUUAUUGAUUCCCCAAUGGCAAUCCAUCACAAAUAAAACUUAAUUAAGUUUCAAAAUGAGACAGAUUGUAGUGAUUAACUCAAAGCAGAAUGUAUCACUGGAUAUAUAUACAUAUAUAUAUAUAUAUUUUUUUUUUUUUUCUACUCUAAGACUUGAAUUAUUUCCAUCACUUGAUGACACAUAAGAUGAGUCCGGCCACACAGCUAUGUCAUGCUAAGUGGUAAAUAAGGUCAUUUUCAUUGUCAUUAUCAUGUAGUCACAUUGGUUUACAAAAUCAUUUAAAGAAACUAAUAAGGCUGUUAUCAGUCAUUGUGAAAUUUAAAACAAAACUCAGUAAUACAAACAAGCAAAAGACACAAAAAUUCAAUGACCCGAAAGAAUAACACAACCCCUACCAGUUUCUAACUUUUAGUAAUCCUCAAACUUGGACUUUUAAGAGGUGGUCAUAUAUUAAAUAAUUUCAGAAUUAAAUAGUUAUAUAAAAUUUCAUUAUCUUUAAAAAUACUAAUAAAUCUCUCUUGACAACUGUGAUAAUAUCUUUUUUAAAAAGAUUUAUUUAUUUAUUAUUUAUUUAUUUAUUUAUUUAUGAAUGAUAGAGAGAGAGAGAGGGGGGGGGGCAGACACAGGCAGAGGGAGAAGCAGGCUCCAUGCAGGGAGCCCAAUGUGGGACUCGAUCCCGGGACUCCAGGAUCACGCCCUGGGCCAAAGGCAGGUGCCAAAGCUGAGCCACCCAAGGAUCCCCCGAUAAUAUCUUUUUAAUAUAUUUGUGAGAUCUUGAAAUCUUUUGCAAGAGUUACUUAGUAUUAAGGUAAUCAAUGAGUAAGAAUCUCACAAGAAAGCUAAAUACAUGGAAAAUCGGUAAAUUUUAUUCAAUGUCACUUAACUCAGUGGAACCUACGAAACCAAUGAAAUCACAAGAAAUGUCUUAAAUUAAUAGUUAAAGAAUUGAUUUUUUUCCAUCUAAAAAGUGGUUGGUCUAUUCCAAAAGUUAUUAAUAAAUAAUUAAAACUGUGUGCUAUACUUAUGUAUUAUCCUAUUAAAAUACAACAAAGAUAAUUUUUUUUAUGUAGGUACUAAUAACAAGAUCAGAAUCCAGUUCUAAGUAAGUUCCCAAGUAAAUCAGUGGCACUCAAUACCUGAUAAGAAAAUAGUCUGUAUUAAAAUAAAUGAAAACUUACUACAUUAAAUUUAAACCUAUUUAAAAGUAAAUUCUUUCUAUUUCUAUUUAUUUUAAAAAACAUUAAGUUAUUCACUAAAUAUGUAAAGGUAUGAUCAGCUUAUUUUAUAUGUAAAAAGUUAUUCUAAAAACAAAAAGUUAUUCUAAACAUAAAUUCUAAUACAUAUUAACAAUGUGCUUGUUUAAUUUGUUUCAAAAUAUGAGAGAAAAUAUUCUAUUUUGAAAACAUUUACAUAUUUAAAAGUUGUUUCUCUAUUCAAACAUUUCAUAUAUGUAUUGCUAUUUAGUUUCUUAUGUAUUUAAUUUUUCAUAGACUCAAGCAGAAAAGGUUGGAUAGUGCAACUUUUCCGCUCUUUGAAAAGUCUACCUAAAUUUUACUAAUACUAUUACUGAACUAGCUUUAAAAAACUGCUAACAAACAGAGGAAAAUAUCUUGAAACCUACAAAAAAAUAAAUAAAUUCCUGUGUGAUUCUAAAGGAGGGAUUUUAUUCAGAUAAGCUUUCGGUAAACAUGUAAGUUUCAUAGGCUUGUCUGAAAUGAAAUGGAAACCUAUUUUCAGGUUGAUUUAUCAAAAACACACCCCUUUUGAUUCAUGAUCUUUACUGGGAAUAAAAAGAAAGAUUCACAAAUGCAUGAGAACAAAACCUUAAUAAUGAUACAGUUUCCUGUAUUGUGACAAAAAUACACAAACAUAUAUGCUUUGAAUGAAUCAUAUGCCAUUUGGUAUUUUAUGAUAUAAAUUAACUUUAUUCCUUGUCAAAAUUUGUUUAUCCACUAAAUGUAGUCCAUUACCUACUCUGUCCCAAGCAUCAUGCUAGGAGAAAAGGGAAAACCAAGGUUAACACAUUAUCUUGCCCAUGAAAAGUUAUAACCCAGUAAUCUUUUUGUUUCUGGCACUGGCUCCACAUCUGUGCUAAGUGAGUAAAAUAUUCUAAAGAUGGGAUAUUUGCUAAUGCCUAGAAAAGAGAAGGCACAUUAAAUAUGCAUGAGUUUAUGUUCUGUUUGUACAUUCGGUUGGAGGAGAGGGUUUUUUUUUUCCCCAUAUAAAUAAGACUUUAGGUUUUUGUUCUUGAUAUCUCAACACAAAUAAGUUUGUUUAAAUAUGAUCCCUGAGGAGUAGUGAUAAUUACAUUCCUGGGGGCAGAGGGGAUAUGUCAGUAAAACAUUGACUCAAAUAAGAGUAUUCAAACAAGUAAAUACUUGUUUUUGAAAAAAAAUUACAAAAUCUUUAAAUUAUUCUUUAUAUUAAGAACUUUAGGUAGUGCAUAUGGUAAAUGAAUGUAUUUAUAGAGUAUAGAUCCAUAUGAUUGCCCCAGUCUCAUCAUUUGGAUCAAGAUUACUUUUUCUUUUAAUCUAGGAUAUAAUCUCAGAUUGCAUAGUUUUAUAUUCUACAAUUUUAUAUUCUACAGUAAUAUAAUACCAACAGCUAUUGUUUUUAAGUGAAUACUAAGCAUUUUACUUAUCUCUAUUUUAUGAGACAAUCAUAUAAAAAAAGCUGUAAUUAUACUGAUGUACUUAGCAUUUUACGCAGCAGAUAUAAUGUAUUAUAAAAUGUUAGAGAAAAAAAUCAUUUAACCCUUAAAAACAGCAACACUCAAAAAAGAUACUUUUCAUCUCCACUGAAUAUAUGUGCAAAUUAUUUGUCUAUAGUCAAAAACCAAUUAAAUAUAGACACAAGAUUAUAAUAACAAAUCAUUCUGACUGCAUUGACUAAAUUAUUAACAAUUUAAACUUUCUUCCUCCAGAUGAUUAUUUGGGUUUGGGCAAAUCUACAGUAGAAGUAAAAACAAUGGGGGCUGCUUAUCAAAACAUAACUGUGCAUAUUAAUACAGGCAUAUGUUUGGUGGAUAGGUAAUAUUGGGAAUAAGGUGUUAGUUUGUAUUUGCAGUUACCUAAUUCAAUUUUACAAAUACUUGUAAACUAAUACUUGAGCUGUGAGGAAAACACAAUUACUGCAUUUGAAAAACAUUCUAUAAUAAUAUUUCACAUUUGCAAUUGCACUAUACUUAUUAAAGCGAUUUUAAUAUGUUGGUUUGGGUUUUUAUAAUAAUCUCUGAACUACAAAGGACAGGAAUGCCUAGCUCUGAUUAGUAGAUAAGGAAAACACAGACCUGAGAGCUUUAGGUAACAAAGGCAUUUGUUUAGGUUCACAUGAAGAGGAGGCGGUAAAGCCAAAAUAGAAAAGGUGCCCACUUUGUAUGUUAUUUUUGCCCGUUAACAAGUGGAUAUUUCAAGUAGCAUUAGAUGGAGUCACUAUAACAUUUAUUUAUAGUCGUACAUUACUAUGUGAUUUUGAUACUGGCGUUGGCAGCUGAGUUCCAUAGGGACUAUUUCAUCAUGGCCAUUUAUGUUCUUGGCACAGUCUAGAAGUAGUAUAUAGAUGUCAAUACAAUGAUGGCCACGUAUUACUUACAGGAUUCCCCAGGCAGCUAAUUAGUUCUUAUGCUACUAAAUUCCUUUCACCUUAUACUCUUAUAAUUAGUGCCUAUUUUUAAAGUUCUACUAUUGUUCCUUGAAUGUUUUUAACCAAUUUGCAGCAUUUCCAAUUUUAUUCUAUCAUGAAUUGGAAGAAAUCUCAUUAAGAAUAAGCUAAGAAGAGAUAUACAUAUAACAUGCCAUCACUAGAUAUUAAUAUUUUAUGGGUGAAGGUCUCUUUCAUUUCUCCCAUUUUAAUAUUUUAUUUAAUAUAAUACAUUAUGUUAUAUAAAAUAUAUGUGAUUUUAUAUAUAUAAAUAUUUAGAAUUUAGAAUUAGGUACACAAUGUCAAAUAUUUUUUUAAUAUUUUAUACUUAUUAAGCCUAUAAAAUAUGGUUCCAUAAAUUGGAUUCCGGUGGUACAAUUUCAUAUCAAAUUCUGAAGUUUGUUUCUUUGCUUUUAACUUUCUCCAUCUUCCAUUUACUUCAACUAUUAUUGCACUUCCAGAAAAAAAAAAAAUUAAGAUGAUGGUAGAUAUACCUGACUAGGCCUGUCACUUGGAAAGCCCCAAGAAAGAAUUUAGGUUGUCACUGUUUGCAGAGAUAAAGAUUAAUGCCUAAGCAAUCACAGUCAAUGAGACACUGGCUAUGAAAAAUAUAGAGAAGUGAGUCAGGAACACCACUUCUGGUAGACACAAAUAGGCAAAGAGAUACAUUCAGGAAAGCUUUUGAGUCUCUGGAUCUAUUGAGCAAUGGGUGAAGAAGAACUAAAGAUAAUUUAGAGAUUUUAGACUUGAACAAUUGGGUGGAUAACGGCACUGGUUACUGAACUAGGGAAAAUGAGAAAACAUUCAAAUCUAAUGAUUUGAAGAGGGGAAAGAGAGACAGAUAGAAAGUUCUACAUAGGUCAUGUUAAGGCUGCGUGAUUAUUAAUGAAUGAGAUAGAGAGUAUCCGCUAACCAUAGCUCAUAGCUCCUAACUAGAAGGCAGAGAUAGGUGAUAAAAACUGUUAGUGCUUGAGAAGGAAAAACUUUCAAACAUAAAAACUUAAUGUUAGAAAGACUAACAUAGUGAAAUUCCUAGAAUCUGAAACUGGGAGCUAUAGAAUAUAUAUAUAUUUUUUUAGAAUAUUUUUUAUUUGCAUAUGUGGCUCACUCUCACCAGGUUGCUUGAAUCUGCUCCUUACUAGAUUCAUAGGUCCUAGAAGUUGGGAACUAUAUUUAUAGUCUUUACAACUAGAUACCUAGGACCUAGUAGAUUCUAAUCAACAAAUUUUUACAAAUGUUUAUUGACCAAGUAGUUACCAAACAGUUCAGAGGCAGUUAAAUUCAAGGUGAAAUUAAAAAAAUAAACAAAAAAAACCCCCCAAAACCUUAAAAAACAAACAAAAUAGUUCUACUGCAGAUGCGAGCUAUUUUUAUCAAAGUAUCAUGUAAUAAGCAAAAAUACUUAUUCUUUCUCAUCACAAGAUAAGUUGUCAGAAUCAACUUUGUUCUAGUCUUUCUUCAGACCUACCCCACACUAUACUCUUUUCAAAUACCUACAAAACAUAUUCAAAGGCAGCUGUCAGGUAUUUUAGACUGAAUACAAAAAGAAAGAAAGAAAGAAAUUGAAUACAAGAAAAGGAAUAUAUUACCUUAGAAUUUUAAGCCAUAAAAUUUUUCAGAAUUAUGGUAAUUGAAACACUUGCACAGGUUUAACAAUGCAGAAUAAGAAAUAGAACAGCUUUUAUCUCUUUAAGCUUAUUAUCAUAAUGAUUGAAAUGAAUGCACAAAAAUACUUGUAUAGUCACACACCAUAUCUGAGACUAAAUGAUUAAAAAGAGAGGUUGCUUCUUUCAAAAUGAUAUGUAAAUUAGUACUUCGCAUUUAUGCCAACAGUGCUACUUUUUAAAAAGCACACUGUGCAUCUUAUUGAUAAAAAUCAAUAUCUACAACUCAACAUAGACAAACUAAAAAAAAAAAAAAGAUUAGCCAACACGUAAAUUAUAAUGCUGAAACGCUUAUUAUAAAUAAAAGCAAAAUGGCGAUUAUAUCACUCAUCUAUAAUUGAAAAAUGUCACUUGCUAUCCAGAGGGCAAAUAAAAUGAGCUAGUUGCACACCAAAACAGAAGCUGUUUUAAUGAACAAUUAAGAGUUUGCUCCUAAAAAAAUAAAAAUAAAAAUAAAAUAAAUAAAUAAAAUAAAAUAAAAUAAAUAAAAUAAAAAAAUAAAAUAAAAUAAAAUAAAAUAAUAAAAUAAAAUAAAAUAAAAUAAAAAAUAAAUAAAAUAAAUAAAAUAAAAUAAAAUAAAAUAAAAUAAAAUAAAAUAAAAUAAAAAUGUGUUUACCUCAAUGCCAAACCUAUGAAACACAAUAUACUAUUAGCUAUUUUACUGACGGGCAGUCGUAUUUUGUCUAUACAUUUGAACUGCCUUUUGAAAUAUUGACAUUAACAUUUAGACUUUCAAUAGUGUGAAGCACUAUUCUCACCCCAGGAGAGGUCUGGUCUCUGCCUUCAGCUCCUGGAAGUCUCUAAAUCCCUGGAAUGUUUUGCUUGAUAAAAGUGUCUUUGUUUAGCCGGGGGCCCAGAGCCUUGCCAGAUAAUCUAACGCUGUGAUCUAGGAUGGAGGCUGGGGGUCUCGCAAAAUUAAAAUUGUCUACCUCCAGAGGCGCUGGACACCAAAGUCAGCCACAUGGGGAGUCAGCCAGGUUUAGGGGACAAGGAUCCAGUAAAGGGUCGGAGCGGCAAGACUCGGGGGAGCUGCCCUGGUUGGCAAUAUUCUGUGAAGCUGUGAAACAUCAUGGCCAGGGAGGUCAGCGUGGCCCGGGGCUGCCGGGAAAGGACACCUGGAAGCUCCACGUGCACAUCAUUGUCCUGGCCUCUGCCGCAGACAUCUCUUCUCCGGGCCUAUUUUAACCCGUAUCCUUUCACUGAAAUACACCGUAACCGUGAGUACAAUGACUCUCAGUGAGUUCAGUGAGUCCUUCUGGCAAAUGAUCAAACUUGAGGGUCCUCUUAGGAACCCCUAAGAUUGCAUCUUGUGUCAGAGUGCUGAUCUCGAGGACUCCUGAAUUUACGGUUAGUGUCAGGAGUGAGGGUGGUUAUUGUAGAUUGUUUCCUAAUUCUACAAAUAUUAAGAGUACUUUUAUCUUCAAAUUUGUAAUCUCAUAACUCAUAUUUACUAAAUAUAUCCGCUGGUCAUUUAAUCCUUAUACUGCUGGAUUUAGUUUUAUUACUAAGCCCAUCUCAUAGAUGAAGAAACUGGAAUAGGGCAACCUGGGUGGCUCAGUG